rnacentral:rRNA from 1 species
GACGAACGCUGGCGGCGUGCCUAAAACAUGCAAGUCGAGCGAGGUAGCAAUACCUAGCGGCGAACGGCGGAGUAAUACAUAAGUUACGUGCCCCGAAGACUGGAAUAGCCGGGCGAAAGCCCGAGUAAUGCCAGAUGUGGCUCAAGGAGAGAUUCUCUUUGAAUUAAACCGGGCAACGGGCUUCGGGAGCGGCUUAUGACCUAUCAGCUAGUUGGUGGGGUAAUGGCCUACCAAGGCGACGACGGGUAGGGGAUCUGAGAGGAUGAUCCCCCCGAGUGGGACUGAGACACGGCCCACACACCUACGGGUGGCAGCAGUUGGGAAUCUUGCACAAUGGAGGCAACUCUGAUGCAGCGACGCCGCGUGGAGGAUGACGGAUCUAGGUCUGUAAACUCCUUUUGCCAAGAAAGACUUAGGACGGUACUUGGCGAAUAAGCACCGGCUAACUACGUGCCAGCAGCCGCGGUAAGACGUAGGGUGCAAGCGUUGUCCGGAUUUACUGGGCGGUAAA